AAACCAGGGUACGAUGGGAAAGUUCCGAUGCUUCCAACAACUGGUUAUUGGAUGGUGUAACCUGUUCGAUGUAUGUUAAUACCGAGCUAGACUAUGAGACGACAGCUAGUUACGUUUUAACUUUGUUGGCGUAUGAUUUGGACCCAGCAACAUCGUUGACCAGUACCGCAACUGUAACUAUAAACAUAAAAGAUGAGAAUGAUAACGCUCCGGUAUGUUCUAAUAGCACUGCUGUUAACUUACCGGAGAGUUAUAAUAUUGGUGCUGUCGUGGCCACGAUUAUGUGUAUUGACUUUGAUAGUGGGGUAAAUGGACAAGUUUAUUUCGUGUUGGACGCCACCAACGAUGCUGUGGUUAAAUCAACAUUUCAAGUUGAUUCUACAUCAGGACAGGUUACUCUAACAGCUGUAUUAAACCAUGAUCAACAAGGAACAUACCAAGUUAAAAUUAUAGCUUAUGAUGGCGGUAAUCCAAGUCUGAGUGUUACAGUAACUAUUCUGGUUGAUGAUGUGUUAAGAUGAAAUUUAUAUCACCAAUUAAUUGGAAUAUUGUAAAAUAGUACAAUUUGUUGACCAGAAUAAAGAUUGGGACAUAUUAUUCAGUUACAACAAGAGUGGUAUUGAGCCUUUAAUCAUAAUGUCUUAAGUAUUAAGCAUCUAUCGAUUCAACUAUGAUUAACCCGAAUACCUAGUUUUGGACCCAAGGGUUUAAAGGUAAGUAUAUGUGAAAUAACCCCAGUCCUGGACCCAAGGGUUUAAAGGUAAGUAUAUGUGAAUAACCCGAGUGCCCAGUUCUGGACCCAAGGUUUGAAAGGUAAUUAUAUGUGAAUGCGAGUAAUAUGUGAUGCUGUCUAUAGAGUUGGUAUGGUAAGGUUUUAUAAGUUAGUGUGUUAUACGUGAAUAUAACAAUGUAAUGAUAAUGCUACUAAUGAUGGAGUAUAAAUUAAUGUGUUGUUUGUGAGUAUAAUACUGUAAUGAUAAUGUGUGAGGAGUUGUGUUAUAUGUUAGAAGGCUAAUUGUGACUAAAUACUGUAAUGAUAAUGUGUGAGGAGGUGUGUUAUAUGUUAGAAUGCUGCUUGUGGGUAUAAUACUGUUUAUGAUUAAAUACUGUAAUGAUAAUGUAAUGAUAAUGAUGUUGGGUAAGGAGUUUGUUGGAUGAUGUUGUAUAGGGCAGUGUGUUGUAUGUGAUGAUGUAUAAUGUGAUGUCGACUAUGGUAUGAUAUAGUGUUAUUGUGUAGUGCAGAGUGCUAUUGCAAUCUGGUAUGUUGACCAGUUGUCGCGUAAUUGUGUGUUGAUUGCUUGAUUGAUUCAUUAAUUGAUUGGUACCAAAGGUAUUACUUGUAUAUAUGAUUAUAACGGUAAUUCGAAUGGUACUGAUAAUGGUAAUGAUAAUAGCAAGGACAGUACUAAAGGUAAUGAACUGGUGAUGGUACUGCUAAUGGUACUGGUACUGAUAACGGUAAUGGUAAUAGCAACGAUAAUGGCAGUACUAAAGGUACUGCUAAUGGUACUGGUACUGAUAAUGAAAAUGAUACCGAUAAUGGUACUGCUAAUAGAUAAUGAAACUGGUGCUGGUACUGCUAAUAGUAAUAGUACUGGUAAAGGUACUGAUAAUGGUACUGAUAAUAAUAACGGUAUUGGAAAGGAUAAUGGCACUACUAAUGGUACUGAUACUGGUACUGAUAAUGAUUAUGGAACUGAUAAUGUUACUACAAAUGGUACUGGUACUGCUAAUAGUACUGCUAUUGGUACUGGAAAGGAUAAUGUUACUACAAAUGGUACUGGUAAUGGUAAUGAAACGGAUAAUGUUACUACAAAUGGUACUGGUACCUAAUGGUACUAAUACUGGUACUGGUACUGGAAAGGAUAAUGUUACUACAAAUGGUACUGGUAAUGUUACUGAUACUGGUACUGAUAAUGGUACUGGAAAGGAUAGUGUUACUACAAAUGGUUCUGGUACUGCCAAUGGUAUUGAUAAUGAUACUGCUACAGGGUAGUGGUAGGGAUACUGGUAGUGCUGUUAGCACUGACAAUGGUACUCAUAAUGGUACUGCGCCCAUUAUGGUGGUAAUGGAACUGUUAAUUAUGACGGUAAUAGUACUGGUAAAUGCUUAUCGUGCUGGGGGCCACGUUGGCUCAGUGAGUAAGACGUGCGCUCGCUAACCUGUUCGAUCCCUGCAUUCAUCGGGAUUCCCGGCAUGGUUCCACCUUGUCAGUGAUGCAGAACGAGAGAGAGAGAGAGAAAUGGGGUUUAACGUCCACUCGACACAAACUAGGUCAUUUCGGGACUAACAUUGGAAAACCACGAGGUUGGACAGGCGACCCUACUCCUUGUCACGUACAACCGGGGAUUCAAAACCAGGUGCAGAACGAAGGGCCUGACAAGGGACAACGUAUAGUCGUACAGGUGGGGCAAAAACAGAGGCCCCGUGCACACCUUGACGUGUACGUAAAAGAUACGUUGGCAGUUGGAAUUCGAUAUAAAAGUAGACCAUCGUGCCGCUGCCCGGGCAAAAUUUCCCUCAUAUCAUAUCAUAUCAUAUGGCGUAUACCCGUCUUCAUUAGCCCAGUCGGAGCAGAACUAUUAACAUUACCAACAUCAGUGCCAUUAUCAUUACCAAUAGAAUUACCAGUAUUUUUAGCGAAAGGAAAGGAAUUGGGUUUAACGCCCCACUAUUCUGCUCCGACUCGGCUAAUAAAGACGGGCAUUUCAUUUUUAGAGGGGUUCAUGGUGGCUAAGUGGGUAAGACGCUGGCUCGUCAGCAUGGAGGUGGGGUGUUCGAUCCCUGCAUUUGCCGCAAAAGUUCAUCCAGAUUUUCCGGCGUGGUUGCCCCUUGCCAGUGAUGCAGGAUGGAGGGCUUGACAAGGACAGCUGUCUAGACGUUCGGAUGAGACGGUAAUCCGAGGUCCCGUGUACACAUUAGCGUGCACGUAAAACUUCCCUUGACAGUUGGAAUUCGAUAUAAGAGUAGGCCACAGUGCCGCUGUCCGGGCACAAUUUCCCUCAUAGCGCACUAUAUGGUGUAUGCCCGACUUCAUUAGCCAAGUUCGAAGCAGAACAGUAGAACGUUAAACCCCAUUCAUUUCUAGAGUGUCUGGGUAACAUUUCAAACAGACAUAUUUUUAUAGCAAGAACAACCAGCCCAUUAUCUGAAUGUUUAUGCAUUAAAAGUAAUGAAUAUUGUUAUACCUUACACGGUUAUUGGCUAUUUAAAUUAGACAAAUAAUAAAGAAGUUUGGGGCUAAAAUAUGGCUGAUUAAAAUUGUUGCCGUUACUGACAUGUGUAUAAUCAUCAUGAAUGUAAAGGAAAUGAAAUGAAAUGAAAUGGGGUUUAACGUCCUACUGUUCUGCUCCGACUGGGCUAAUGAAGACGGGUGAAAGUAAACGCAAUCUUAUCUAACCAUAUACACCGCAUCCGUCACCCGUUCGUAGAUGAGUAUACAGUCGUACAGUUUGUUAACUACACAAACACCCGUGUUAAUAAAUGUGAACUCACCAAACGAUCAGUGAUAUCGGAUGUUCCAGUAACUCAGCAUACCUUACCCCGUGUACUACAGUCAUCACUAAUUAUAGUUAUGCUAAGUACAGCUAACGUUUGGAUCUUGACUGCAGAAACCGAAGCUUGUCAGGUUUGCCCUACUCAACAAAAUAACAUUUACUCCAAAACCUUAUCACAAAGGGCUGGGAUUGAUGAUCGAAUGGUUUAACGAUUGUCCACUGGGUAUAAGGUCUUUCAGUGAGUCAAGUGGCGUGGUUUCGAUUUCCCGUUUGUACGUGACAAGGUGUAGAGCCGUCUGUCCAAUCUUAUUGGUUUUCUCCGGGUCCUCGGCUUUCCUUUCACUGCUAAAGAUCCCUACGCGCAAGCGAGUUAAUGAAAUAAAACUUAAACAGGUGUUAGUCUCAAAAUGAAACAAUUGUGUCGAGUGGACGCUAAACCCCAUUUCACAAAGCAUUAGAGAGCUGCACAGUACUCCUGUUAAAAAGUCUUUCUCACAGAAUCAACCAGUUUUGAUAAAUUUGGUAUCGGUGAAAUUCACAUAAACUAAAAUUAUUAAAUUAAUUUUAAAUUCUACUCUGAUUUACAGUUAGUUAGAUUACAUAAUAAUUAUCAUAUUACUUGAAAAUAAAAGUUAAUCAUGCAAAUAUCAAAUCAUGCUAAUUUACAAUAAAAGUGUUUUAACGUUAAACGGACCGAGGUUUUAUAGUUAUUGGUGUUUUAUAUAUUGGAAUCUAGAUAAUAAAGCAUAAAAAUUAAUAGGUUAGAAUUGUAAUAUUAAUGAUAUAUUGAAUACAUUAACAGCUAUUUUAUUGAAAAUAUAUUAAAUUUGUCGAAAUUAUUAAAAAAUAUUAAACAGUUUUAUUGUGUUUUCAACAAAGAUUCAGAUUUGAUGAUGCAAUGAAACUUGCCUAUAUAAACUGUUUGUGAAUUUGAAUAAUUCAGAAUCCUGAGAGCAGUUUGAAUAGAAAACAAGUCUAUCAACAAAUUGAUCAAUAUGGAAAGUGUAAAGAUAUUGUUUGUGCUGUGUUUAAUAUUAGAAUGCUGCAACUGCUGGGUUAAUAAGUUUGACAAGCCAGUAUGGUAUGAAUGUCCAGUCGGGGAACAGCUUUUUUCAAUAUCCAGUGAACAUGUUAAUGGUUACGAGGACAGACAAUGGGACUUCACGUGCGCCUAUUUGGCCCCAUUGGGCUUAUGUUCUUGGCAUAAUAAUAUUAAUGAGUAUGACGGAGUAAUGGAUUUUAAAUGUCCAGACGCGGGUGCAAUAACCGGUAUCAAAAGUGCCCAUGACAACCAGAAAGAGGAUAGGAUUUACCACAUCGAAUGCUGUGCAAUGUCCGAAACUCCUAAUGUAUGCAAAUUGACAGAUUAUGAAAACGAAUUUGAUGGCCUCCUUGCAUAUAGAAUUCCAGCUAUUAAAUACAUAAAUGGGAUAUACAGUGUGCACCAAAAUCAACAAGAGUAAGUACUACUACCACUGAGAUCGACGUUUUAAGUUCUACGAAUGCGAUCUCCCGAAAUGUUGAUUUACACGUGCAGCCCCUCUUUAAGAGAUUGAUAAAUAAAGAUGCAUUUUA